CUCACUCUCUCUGUCUCGCCCACCUUCUCUAUCUUUUACUUGCUCUCUCUCCCGUCUCCCUCUCUCUCGCUCUGCCUGACACUUGCGCUGUCUCUAUCUCUCACUAUCUCUCUCUUUCCCUCUACCAUCAUCAUAACAGUGCUGGUAUGUUUGUGGUCUGAUGUCUGAGCUCACCUUGUACAGUAAGGUUUAGUCUGUAGCUAAGCUAAUAGGUUUAUCUAUGAGGCUGGACCUCUGGGCACCACCACCACCUCUAAUCCCCUUAAAGGGCUCUGCUGGAACAAGGCUUACACAGGUUAAGCACAUCAACCAGGGACGCUGCCAGCAUACAGCACAGCACAUAAGCUAUCUGGACUGUAGGACAAGACAGCAGCAGCUCAACACAAUACCAUACAGCGGCAGUACUUGGAGAGUCCUCUGACUGUCUCCAGCUGCAGUGAGAAAUGUCUCUCUAACCACUGGGCUGAGAAGAGAGAGGACAGAGAAAAGAGAAGAGACUGAUAACGUCCUUAGCCACUUCUUGCUGGAUGCCUCUCUGACAUUCAGUUAAAUCUGUAUUGAUGAGGACAGGCCCAUGCGUGUGUGUUCGUGUCUGUGUAUGCUUGUGUGUGUCUGUGUACUAAGUAGUGUGUAGGCUAGGGCAUGACGCCACCUGUUAAGUACAGUAAUAAGUUGAUCCUGCUGUGAAAAUGAUUAGAAUGUCAGAUGCAUGUGAUGGAGAGUUUACAACAAUACCGAAUACUCCCAUCCACCACCAUACCAAUGUCACAACAAGAGAAUGUCAUGAGUUAAACAUACCAUUUAAUCCGUUUGGACUCUAUGGGUGGUUGGUUAGAUAAGAUAAGGGUGGGAAGAAUGUGUCAGAGAGUAGAGUAGAGUGUGCAGUAACAGGGAUGAAUCCCAUUGUCUCUGAGAGAGGCACUCUAUCUGUGAGGAAAGCAUCAGCCCAUGAAUUAUUUAAAAGGAGAGGAGGAAAGAAACAUCUGUCAAAUCAAGAUAAAAAAUAAUGUUAUAGCAUAAACCAGGAGUGUUUUUUUAUUCGCACAAAGCAUAAAAGUGGCUCAUUAAAUUCCAUCAGAUUUCCCUGGUGGGGUGCUGAGAAUAAAACCUCCAUCAAAAUGAAAUUUUCAUUUUCGGAGACAAACACAGACAGAGAAAUAUCUCAGAACCAAUCAAAAGCUUCUCCCAUAGAUCUCUUUCAGCCAAUCAGAUCCUAAGGGAUUCCAGUGGGACCAGUCACAGACAGCAUCACUACAUCAGGAGUCAGC
rnacentral:lncRNA from 1 species